UACGUAGGGUGCAAGCGUUGUCCGGAAUUAUUGGGCGUAAAGGAGCUCGUGAGCGGUCUGUCACGUCGGCUGUGAAAACCCGAGGCUCAACCUCGGGCCUGCAGUCGAUACGGGCAAACUAGAGUACUGCAGGGGAGACUGGAAUUCCUGGUGUAGCGGUGAAAUGCGCAGAUAUCAGGAGGAACACCGGUGGCGAAGGCGGGUCUCUGGGCAGUAACUGACGCUGGAGGAGCGAAAGCGUGGGGAGCGAACAGG
rnacentral:rRNA from 1 species